AGUGAACGCUGGCGGUAGGCCUAACACAUGCAAGUCGAACGGCAGCACAGUAAGAGCUUGCUCUUACGGGUGGCGGGUGGCGGACGGGUGAGGAAUACAUCGGAAUCUACUUUUUCUUGGGGGAUAACGUAGGGAACCUUACGCUAAUACCGCAUACGACCUACGGGUGAAAGCAGGGGAUCUUCGGACCUUGCGCGAUUGAAUGAGCCGAUGUCGGAUUAGCUAGUUGGCGGGGUAAAGGCCCACCAAGGCGACGAUCCGUAGCUGGUCUGAGAGGAUGAUCAGCCACACUGGAACUGAGACACGGUCCAGACUCCUACGGGAGGCAGCAGUGGGGAAUAUUGGACAAUGGGCGCAAGCCUGAUCCAGCCAUACCGCGUGGGUGAAGAAGGCCUUCGGGUUGUAAAGCCCUUUUGUUGGGAAAGAAAAGCAGCAGGUUAAUACCCCGCUGUCCUGACGGUACCCAAAGAAUAAGCACCGGCUAACUUCGUG
rnacentral:rRNA from 1 species